GACCCAAACUCAUCGUCUAUCCUAAUAUUUCGACUCUCAGAAUUGCAGGUUGCCACAAAAUUGUCCAGAUGAACAGGAACAACACAUUCAACUGCAACCUGUUUCUUCAACGGAGAUGCAAUAGAAUUGGCAACAAAUUGAUCAGAAUCAACCUCCGAAUUCUUUUGAGAGGUUAUUAUCUGGUCUUCAUAGACAACAUCCUCCACCAUCUGAGCAGAAAUUUCAUCAGACGUCUCAGUAGCAAGGGAUUCUUCAGGUUUUGGUCAUCGGUUGCACGGUGUCAGGAUCUUCUUUGAUGGAUUUUUUUCUAGUUGAGGUUCUGUAGGCAGUCCGUGGAAUCAAUGGUGAUUCAGUUGCAACAGUUUUUCCUGGCCACUGACAUUGGUUCCUGAGCCCAUCAAGUCCUUCAACCUGAGAAGACAUUGUUAUGCAAGAAUGUCAACUAUAAUUCUCUGUUGUAUUCAUCAGAAAAAGUUACAGCUGAUACAGCUUUUAAAAGGCUCUUCAAAGUCCUACUUAGGAUAGAAUUAAGAAGAUGUUUCUUCAAAAUCAAAAAGCACCUUUUACAAACAGUUUCUUGGCGAUCAUUCAGAAUCUUCAAGAAAAAAUUCACACCAAAUCAGGAUAUUAAAUUUAAAUCUGUAACUGCUUGAUUUUAAAAGAUCAAUAACUACAUGUCCAAUAAUUUCUUCUA